rnacentral:rRNA from 1 species
AGAAAAGCAGGGGAUCGCAAGACCUUGCGCUUUUGGAGCGGCCGAUGUCUGAUUAGCUAGUUGGUGAGGUAAAGGCUUACCAAGGCUUCGAUCAGUAGCUGGUCUGAGAGGACGACCAGCCACACUGGGACUGAGACACGGCCCAGACUCCUACGGGAGGCAGCAGUGGGGGAUUUUGGACAAUGGGGGAAACCCUGAUCCAGCCAUGCCGCGUGAGUGAAGAAGGCCUUCGGGUUGUAAAGCUCUUUCAGCCGGAACGAAAAGGUUACGGUUAAUACCCGUGACUAAUGACGGUACCGGAAGAAGAAGCACCGGCUAACUACGUGCCAGCAGCCGCGGUAAUACGUAGGGUGCGAGCGUUAAUCGGAAUUACUGGGCGUAAAGCGUGCGCAGGCGGUUUUGUAAGUCAGAUGUGAAAUCCCCGGGCUCAACCUGGGAACUGCGUUUGAAACUACAAGGCU